UGGAAGUAAAAAUCGUAACAAGGUUUCCGUAGGUGAACCUGCGGAAGGAUCAUUACAGUAUUCUUUUUGCCAGCGCUUAAUUGCGCGGCGAAAAAACCUUACACACAGUGUUUUUUGUUAUUACAAGAACUCUUGCUUUGGUCUGGACUAGAAAUAGUUUGGGCCAGAGGUUUACUAAACUAAACUUCAAUAUUUAUAUUGAAUUGUUAUUUAUUUUAAUUGUCAAUUUGUUGAUUAAAUUCAAAAAAUCUUCAAAACUUUCAACAACGGAUCUCUUGGUUCUCGCAUCGAUGAAGAACGCAGCGAAAUGCGAUAAGUAAUAUGAAUUGCAGAUUUUCGUGAAUCAUCGAAUCUUUGAACGCACAUUGCGCCCUUUGGUAUUCCAAAGGGCAUGCCUGUUUGAGCGUCAUUUCUCUCUCAAACCUUCGGGUUUGGUAUUGAGUGAUACUCUUAGUCGAACUAGGCGUUUGCUUGAAAUGUAUUGGCAUGAGUGGUACUGGAUAGUGCUAUAUGACUUUCAAUGUAUUAGGUUUAUCCAACUCGUUGAAUAGUUUAAUGGUAUAUUUCUCGGUAUUCUAGGCUCGGCCUUACAAUAUAACAAACAAGUUUGACCUCAAAUCAGGUAGGACUACCCGCUGAACUUAAGCAUAUCAUA
rnacentral:rRNA from 1 species